CAUCAGAGUCUUUCCCUUCUGAGCACUGUUUCCAGGUCCUCUACUAAAACUCCCAGCACUGUAUCCUCCCCUGCUCUCUUUACAUGUCCAAACCAUCAGAGUCUUUCCCUUCUGAGCACUGGUUCCAGGUCCGCUACUCCACAUCUGUUAGCUACAUCUGCACUGGACACCCUAUCUUGCCACCUGAUCCCCGCCAUAUACCCACACACAGAGACAAGAGGAAUUAUUGAUAGACCCAAUGUUCCAGCACCCAGUAAUCAAAUGUAGGUAAAUCAAUACAAAGAUGUUUUCCUUAACACCUGCCAACAUUAAAACCAAAGUGAAAUUAAAAAACAA